CGAACCUGGCCUGCACAGCAGGGUUUGCAGGCUCCGAAUGGACUCAGAGCAGCACAGCGGGGACACUGCUCAGCUGCAGGCCUGGCCCGGCCCCUGCGCUGACCCUGGCUCAAGAACCCUUGCCCUUGCUUCCCCUGGUGGCCUCUGGAGUCCUGCUCUUCUCUCCUCUGAAGACACGGGACAGACUGGAAGGAGGCCCACCCGGACAACCCCUUGUAAAUGCAACGACCUCGCCGAUGGCCCCAUCUCCAGCUUUUGGAAGAACUGCAACUCAGCUACGAGUUCCGCUUGGCUACUUAAGACAACAGCUAAAGGGCGAUUUGUCUCUCACCAUCCUCGCUUGCUGCAGCUCCUCAGGGAGUUCUGAAGACUCGCGACCUCAGCUACCCCCCUGUUCUGCUGUCCUUGACUUACACCCUUUGAUCUCGUGGUCACAAAUGGCUGCAACACUUCCAGGCAGGCAUCACAUCCGAGUUCCAGACUGGAAGAAGGAGGUAGAGAAAGGUUGUGCCCAGUGCAUCUAUCUUUUUAUCACGAGGACACUUCCUUUCUAGAAGCUCCGCCAUAAAAUUCCUUAUCUACCCCAUUUGCCGGAAACAGGUGCCAGGGAGCUUGUUAGCUGAGCGUAUGGAAGGUGACUGUGCUUGCCAGGCAGUUUUGCUGCCACAAACAGAUUCAGGAUCUUGUUAGCGGAGAGAGAAGGGGAAUUGGAUGUUGGGAGGCUACCCGAGGUCUCCCA